rnacentral:rRNA from 1 species
GACGAACGCUGGCGGCGUGCCUAAUACAUGCAAGUAGAACGCUGAAGGAGGAGCUUGCUCUUCUGGAUGAGUUGCGAACGGGUGAGUAACGCGUAGGUAACCUGCCUGGUAGCGGGGGAUAACUAUUGGAAACGAUAGCUAAUACCGCAUAAGAGUAGAUGUUGCGUGACAUUUGCUUAAAAGGUGCAAUUGCAUCACUACCAGAUGGACCUGCGUUGUAUUAGCUAGUUGGUGGGGUAACGGCUCACCAAGGCGACGAUACAUAGCCGACCUGAGAGGGUGAUCGGCCACACUGGGACUGAGACACGGCCCAGACUCCUACGGGAGGCAGCAGUAGGGAAUCUUCGGCAAUGGACGGAAGUCUGACCGAGCAACGCCGCGUGAGUGAAGAAGGUUUUCGGAUCGUAAAGCUCUGUUGUAAGAGAAGAACGAGUGUGAGAGUGGAAAGUUCACACUGUGACGGUAUCUUACCAGAAAGGGACGGCUAACUACGUG